rnacentral:rRNA from 1 species
CCUACGGGAGGCAGCAGUAAGGAAUAUUGGUCAAUGGACGCAAGUCUGAACCAGCCAUGCCGCGUGAAGGAUUAAGGUCCUCUGGAUUGUAAACUUCUUUUAUAUGGGACGAAAACAGAUCUUUCUAGGUCCUUUGACGGUACCAUAUGAAUAAGCACCGGCUAACUCCGUGCCAGCAGCCGCGGUAAUACGGAGGGUGCAAGCGUUAUCCGGAUUCACUGGGUUUAAAGGGUGCGUAGGCGGGUAGGUAAGUCAGUGGUGAAAUCCUGGAGCUCAACUCCAGAACUGCCAUUGAUACUAUCUAUCUUGAAUAUUGUGGAGGUAAGCGGAAUAUGUCAUGUAGCGGUGAAAUGCUUAGAUAUGACAUAGAACACCCAUUGCGAAGGCAGCUUACUACGCAUAUAUUGACGCUGAGGCACGAAAGCGUGGGGAUCAAACAGGAUUAGAUACCCUGGUAGUCCACGCCCUAAACGAUGGAUACUCGACAUACGCGAUACACAGUGUGUGUCUGAGCGAAAGCAUUAAGUAUCCCACCUGGAGUACGUUCGCAAGAAUGAAACUUAAAUAGAAAUUGACGGG